GAAAGAUAAAAACAUGCAAGCAAUCCAACAUAAACCGAGUAUAUUCUGUUUCUUCUCUCAAAAUUGUGUUUUUUGUGUGAUAUUCUGAAUAUAUAUAAUAAUUAUAAAAAAACUUUAUUUCUAUAAUCCAUGUUCAAUUAAUUUGGUUUUUGAGAAUAAUAUUUUUUUUUCGUACAACAAAUUUUGGGAUCCAAUGCCCAAAUCAGCAUAGCCCACUCUCUCCUUCCCCUCACUAUCCUAUCCCGCAUGACCCAACCAGCCCCACUAUAUCUUUCUAGAAAAAAAGAAAAGAAAAAACAGCCCCCACCUUCUCCUUCCCCUCGCUCUAUCGUUCCCCUCACUCUCUCCACUCCCGCACACGCAAAUCCCUAAUCUCGGCCGAGUCACCCACUCCACUCCCUCCGCUGUCGCCCCCACAGCCGCCACAACCAGCGAACUCGUCUCCCACCGCUGCCCCCUCUCGUCCCCUCCCCUCUACUCAUCCGACGGCGCUGACCGCGCAGAUCGAGCGACCAGGCGGCGGCCACAUGCGCACACAACCGGCGACCAACAUCACGCAAAGGUCAUCACCGCCGUCGCCGAAGGGCGGUCUUCUUCCACCUCGACGGACGAGCUUGCGCGCCAGGAGAGGAGCGGGGAUCCUGCGCUUCUUCCUCGCUCAGCGCCCCUGUCGCCAUGCCAUGGAUGGACCUCCCUCUGCUCUCACCAAUGCCAUGUACCGAGCUUGCUCUCCUCCUCGAGAUAUUAUCCUCCAAGCUAUAUGAUAUGGACAACACAUGAUUUAUGGAACGAAAAGAGAUCAUGUCAUCCAGAUAAUUAGAUUUCACCGCAUGAUGUUCUUUACCCCAGCCGAGCAUAGUGUGCUGCCGCGCCGUCGAUUUCCACGAAGUGGCCAGCCCGAGCCGAUUCCCCAAUGUGUCAAUGACUACGUCCGCUGCGUGAUCCUGUGGGACAUGACCAAUCCAUUGCCUUAUCAACACAUCGAGGGUGAAUUGAGUUCAGAGCUUUAAGCAAACGAUUGCGAUUUUGUAGCUGCAGUGGUGCUAUUCUUUAUCAUUUGGUGAACAUAUACCUGGAGGUACAUGUGAUGAAGUCGUCAGUUCCGCUGGCUUGCUGUGUGGAGUCCCCAUAUGUAACUACUAAAAAAAGACAUGUCCAACAGAAUCAGGCAGAUGAAGGCCGUCGAAGAUCACAAGCGCAGCUUGCUAUUGUACAGGUUUGGAAUUUAGAAAGGUGACCUAUUUUCAUGUGAACUUACCUAUUCUUUGCUAUUCAGAAUAAUUCUUUAUCUUCCCAUUGCUGUGUUAAUUGAUUCAUAUGCGGUUGUGCUAUUCUGACAAGGAUGUCCAUCAAGGUUGUUUGGAGGGACAUAAUGAAACCUCACAAGUUCUACUUUGCUGAUUCUUUCAGAGAAUUGUUUCAUUACUAAUGCGCUAUCGUGGGCAUGUAUUAAUCCCAAAUUCCAAAUCACUUUGGAAUCCAGUCAAAAUCCAGUGAAAAUCACUCUGGAAUCCUUCUCCGUAAUUGAUUCGCAAACUACUCUCAAGGACUGCUCUGAACCUCAAAUAUCAUGGGCACAUGAAGUUGUGGUGUAAUUUUUACAGAAACAAGUGAUUCAGGCAGCAAGGUAUUGAUUGAUGCAACUAUGUUGUACUGUUUCGGUGACUGCUAAUAUUUUCUUUAGGAAGGAUAACCAAUUCAGUACUAAAAGUAUUCUUCAUGUUAUCUAAAUUGAGGGCGAUCCUUUGUACACUAAUAUGAGGUGUUUUAGGUCACGAAGUAUUGACCUAAAAGGUCUUGUAUUAGUUACAGAGGGGUUUGAGCGCGGGCAGCGGCCGGCGGCGGAGGUGGAAAAU